AUUGAACGCUGGCGGCAUGCUUUACACAUGCAAGUCGAACGGUAACAGGCCGCAAGGUGCUGACGAGUGGCGAACGGGUGAGUAAUGCAUCGGAACGUGCCCAGUCGUGGGGGAUAACGCAGCGAAAGCUGCGCUAAUACCGCAUACGAUCUUUGGAUGAAAGCGGGGGACCGAAAGGCUUCGCGCGAUUGGAGCGGCCGAUGUCAGAUUAGGUAGUUGGUGGGGUAAAGGCCCACCAAGCCAACGAUCUGUAGCUGGUCUGAGAGGACGACCAGCCACACUGGGACUGAGACUCGGCGCAGUCUCCUACGGGAGGCAGCAGUGGGGAAUUUUGGACGAUGGGCGCAAGCCUGAUCCAGCAAGUCCGCGUGCAGGAAGAAGGCCUUCGGGUUGUUAACUGCUUUUGUACGGAACGAAACGGUCCGGGUUAAUACCCUGGGCUAAUGACGGUACCGUAAGAAUAAGCACCGGCUAACUACGUGCCAGCCGCCGCGGUAACAC
rnacentral:rRNA from 1 species